rnacentral:rRNA from 1 species
CACGAACGCUGGCGGCAGGCUUAACACAUGCAAGUCGAGCGCCCCGCAAGGGGAGCGGCAGACGGGUGAGUAACGCGUGGGAAUCUACCCAUCUCUACGGAAUAACGCAUGGAAACGUGUGCUAAUACCGUAUACGUCCUUCGGGAGAAAGAUUUAUCGGAGAUGGAUGAGCCCGCGUUGGAUUAGCUAGUUGGUGGGGUAAAGGCCUACCAAGGCGACGAUCCAUAGCUGGUCUGAGGGGAUGAUCAGCCACACUGGGACUGAGACACGGCCCAGACUCCUACGGGAGGCAGCAGUGGGGAAUAUUGGACAAUGGGCGCAAGCCUGAUCCAGCCAUGCCGCGUGAGUGAUGAAGGCCCUAGGGUUGUAAAGCUCUUUCACCGGUGAAGAUAAUGACGGUAACCGGAGAAGAAGCCCCGGCUAACUUCGUACCAGCCGCCGCCGUAACAC